UUCCUGAACUCGCUCACAGGACUCAGUGUUAAAGUGAACAUCUGGAUUCAGGAUCCCACACCGUCCAUUAUUAACUGAAUACAUGAUCCUAAGUGUGUCAUCGACAUCAUAACCAUCACAAUAAAACAUGAACUGUGAACCAGUUCAUCUUCAUGAGUAUGAACUGGACUUUGAACUGGGUGGUUUCAUGUGUGAACUGGUUCAACACGGAGGAGGAGCCUGAGAACAGGGAGCGGUCAGACUCCAUUUUCCCUUGGAUGAGCAGGAGGAAGAAAAGUGAGGAGAGUCACGUGAUUUCCAGUAACUGCAGAGCGGAGGAGCAGCCAGUGAAAGUGAAAGUGAAAGUGUUCAGACUUGUUCUAACAACAAGGAGCAGACGGAGGAGACGUGAAGUCUGAGGCUGAGAGAAGAAGAUUCAGGAUGAACUUCUGUCAGUCAAUCAACAGUUUGACUCAACGCUGUGAUUGGCUGAGUCCAACACAUUAAACCUACAACUGUCUCAGGUUACCGUGACAACAGGGACACAGUGUAGGAGCGUUGACUCUGUUAGAUUUGAAGAAACACUGAGUUUACUACCUGGCUUCAUUGUGUGUGUUUGAGCUCACAGUGUUUUUCACUGGAUCCCCAGAGACAGAUGUGAACAGCAGGUCUGGAACAAAGAGCCUUCAAAGGACUAAUUCACAGAGUUAACUCACAGUUUCACUUUUUAUCUUCAUCACAUCUGUUCAUCAAGUGUUUAAUAACAGAACGUGUUUUCACAAUCAUACGUUACAGCAGUGGUCACAACCAGUCGAGAGUCUUCACUGUGGAUCCCAGUAAAGCUCUGGACUCACUGGCUGAGGUGUGAGGAACAUCGACCUGCAGAGCCAGACUGAAGAUGAGGAGUCAUGAGGAGGAAGAGGAGGACAGAG